UGCGAGCUCAGUAUAGGUGCAUGCAUAGCCAUGGCGAUGCGUCGGUAAGACGCGGGUGCUCCUCUGAAAGAUCGGUAUGGUCGACUAGAGGGGUGGAGGGUGAAUAGGGGACUAACAAAUUUUAGCUUUUCUUUUUUCUUUUCUUGAAAGAUACAAACACUUAAUCCUAGGAUUUACUAGAUUCUUUAAAGUGAAUGCAACCCUAGAAUGAAAUGCAAUAGCCGAAGCAAU
rnacentral:lncRNA from 1 species